ACCUCCAAGGCUCAAGCAAUUCUCCUGCCUCACCUGGAGCCACAGGUGUACAUGUUCCUGGUGAAAUGGCAGGACCUGUCAGAGAAGGUGGUCUACCGGCGCUUCACCGAGAUCUAUGAGUUCCAUGCAUGAGCCACCAUGCUCAGCCUUUUAGGUGGUUUUGAGAGGUAUUUAGGUUUGCAGUGCAGGGGCACACUCAUAGCUCACUGCAGCCUCAACGUCUGGGGCUCAAGCAAUCCUCCUGCCUCAGCCUCCUGAGUAGCUGGGACUGUAGAAAACCUUAAAAGAAAUGUUCCCUAUUGAGGCAGGGGCAAUCAAUGCAGAGAACAGGAUCAUCCCCCACCUCCCAGCUCCCAAGUGGUACGAUGGGCAACGGGCCGCCGAGAACCGCCAGGGCACGCUUACCGAGUACUGCAGCAUGCUCAUGAGCCUGCCCACCAAGAUCUCCCGCUGUCCCCACCUCCUCGACUUCUUCAAGGUGCGCCCCGAUGACCUCAAGCUCCCCACGGACAACCAGACAAAAAAGCCAGAGACAUACUUGAUGCCCAAAGAUAGCAAGAGUACCGCGACAGACAUCACUGGCCCCAUCAUCCUGCAGACGUACCGUGCCAUUGCCGACUAUGAGAAGACCUCGGGCUCCGAGAUGGCUCUGUCCGCGGGUGACGUGGUGGAGGUCGUGGAGAAGAGCGAGAGCGGUUGGUGGUUCUGUCAGAUGAAAGCAAAGCGAGGCUGGAUCCCAGCGUCCUUCCUCGAGCCCCUGGAAAGUCCCGACGAGACGGAAGACCCUGAGCCCAACUAUGCAGGUGAGCCGUACGUCGCCAUCAAGGCCUACAAUGCGGUGGAGGGGGACGAGGUGUCCCUGCUCGAGGGUGAAGCUGUUGAGGUCAUUCACAAGCUCCUGGACGGCUGGUGGG
rnacentral:sRNA from 1 species